rnacentral:misc_RNA from 1 species
UCCGAGUUGACCCCGGCAGUCUCCUACGAGUCCCCGGCAUUACCCGCUGGCAACAUAGGACAAGGGUUGCGCUCGUUGCGGGACUUAACCCAACAUCUCACGACACGAGCUGACGACAGCCAUGCACCACCUGUACACCGACAAAAAGGGGCACCAUCUCUGGCGCUUUCCGGCGUAUGUCAAACCCAGGUAAGGUUCUUCGCGUUGCAUCGAAUUAAACCACAUGCUCCACCGCUUGUGCGGGCCCCCGUCAAUUCCUUUGAGUUUCACCCUUGCGAGCGUACUCCCCAGGCGGGGCACUUAAUGCGUUAGCGCCGGCACCCAGGGGGUCGCUCCCCCAGGCACCUAGUGCCCAUCGUUUACGGCGUGGACUAC